rnacentral:piRNA from 1 species
UACUUAAUGUAAAUGGGUCCAGGUGCUA